rnacentral:tRNA from 2 species
GCCCCUGUGGCUCAGUGGUAGAGCGCCUGACUACGAAUCAGGAGGCCCAGGUUUCGAACACCUGCUGGGGUU